rnacentral:rRNA from 1 species
CCUACGGGAGGCAGCAGUGGGGAAUAUUGCACAAUGGGGGAAACCCUGAUGCAGCGACGCCGCGUGAGUGAAGAAGUAUUUCGGUACGUAAAGCUCUAUCAGCAGGGAAGAAAAUGACGGUACCUGACUAAGAAGCCCCGGCUAACUACGUGCCAGCAGCCGCGGUAAUACGUAGGGGGCAAGCGUUAUCCGGAUUUACUGGGUGUAAAGGGAGCGUAGACGGCAGCGCAAGUCUGGAGUGAAAUCCCAUGGCUUAACCAUGGAACUGCUUUGGAAACUGUGCAGCUAGAGUGCAGGAGAGGUAAGCGGAAUUCCUAGUGUAGCGGUGAAAUGCGUAGAUAUUAGGAGGAACACCAGUGGCGAAGGCGGCUUACUGGACUGUAACCGACGUUGAGGCUCGAAAGCGUGGGGAGCAAACAGGAUUAGAUACCCUAGUAGUC